rnacentral:rRNA from 1 species
UACGAAGGGGGCUAGCGUUGUUCGGAAUUACUGGGCGUAAAGCGCGCGCAGGCGGUUUUUCAAGUCAGUGGUGAAAGCCCGGAGCUCAACUCCGGAAUUGCCAUUGAAACUGCAAAACUUGAGUACGAGAGAGGUGAGUGGAAUUCCCAGUGUAGAGGUGAAAUUCGUAGAUAUUGGGAAGAACACCGGUGGCGAAGGCGGCUCACUGGCUCGUUACUGACGCUCAGGCGCGACGGCGUGGGGAU